GCCCCGGUAGCUCAGCUGGAAGAGCGAGCGCCUCGUAAGCGCUAGGUCGCGGGAUCGAGACCCGCCCGGGGCU
rnacentral:tRNA from 1 species